rnacentral:snRNA from 1 species
AUACUUACCUGGCAGGAGAGAUACCAUGAUCACGAAGGUGGUUUUCCCAGGGCGAGGCUUAUACAUUGCACUCCGGAUGUGCUGACCCCUGCGAUUUCCCCAAAUGUGGGAAACUCGACUGCAUAAUUUGUGGAAAAAAAAUAAAAAUUA